ensembl:snRNA U1 U1 spliceosomal RNA
AUACGUACCUGGCAGAGAAGAUAACGUCCUGAAGGUGGUUUUGCUAGAACGAGGCUUUUCCACUGCACUCCCCACGUGCUGAUCCUCGCGUUUUCUCCAACUGUGAGAAAUUCGACUGCGUACCUUGUGUUAGUGGGGGACUGCGCAGGGCCCUUC